GACGGGGCCCGCACAAGCGGAGGAGCAUGUGGUUUAAUUCGAUGAUACGCGAGGAGCCUUACCCGUGCUCGAACGUAAGAUGACUGUAGGUGAAAGCUUACAUCUCUUCGGAGCAUUUUACGAGGUGCUGCAUGGUUGUCGUCAGCUCGUGCCGUGAGGUGUCGGGUUAAGUCCCAUAACGAGCGCAACCCUACCUUUAGUUGCCAUCAGGUAAUGCUGGGGACUCUAAAGGAACUGCCUACGCAAGUAGUGAGGAAGGCGGGGAUGACGUCAAAUCAGCACGGCCCUUACGUCCAGGGCUACACACGUGCUACAAUGGCCGAUACAGAGGGCAGCUACCUGGUGACAGGAUGCAAAUCUCCAAAGUCGGUCUCAGUUCGGAUCGGAGUCUGCAACCCGACUCCGUGAAGUUGGAUUCGCUAGUAAUCGCGCAUCAGCCAUGGCGCGGUGAAUACGUUCCCGGGCCUU
rnacentral:rRNA from 1 species